ensembl:lncRNA
UUUUUUAAUUAACAUUCUUCUGUCAGGAAUGUAUAUUUUAUAUUAUCUAUAUUUCUUUUUAUCUUAACUUUGAUAUAUCUGUAUUAAAUAUUGUGUAAAUCUUAUAUUAUGGUUUGAAGGGUUAGUUCACCCAAAAAUGAAAAGUUUUCACCAUUUUCAUCAUUUUUUCUUUCACCUUCAUGUCGUUCCAAACCUGUAUGACUUUCUUUCUUCUUGGUGAUAUUUUGCAUGGUGGGAAACCAAAUAACAUUGUAGUCUGUGGGUCUGUCUCCAUAUGAGAGCGGAGGAGGAGGAGGAGGAGGAGGACAGGUGAAAGCAGCUGGCAGUGAGGAGCUGCUUGUUCGCAGGCCUUUAGGGGGAGUGUUGAGACGCGUGGAGACCGAGACUGGCACCGCGUCUGUGUGAAGGGGGAGAGGCUGGGAAACGACGGGAGCACAAGCGAGGCAGAGCUUCACCGUCUGUGGCCCUCAGUCCCCUCGUCCUCGAUGCCCGCAAAAGACACAUCGACCUACCGAUAACAAGGACGCGGAGCGACCGGAGGACCGCGCGCGCUCGAGACGGCACCGCUGUAGCGCCCGAACUGGAGAGAUGUCCACGAUCCAGACAUUAUGAAGAUACAGUAGAACAAAGUAUCAGAUCUUCAGAUCCAUCAGGCCACUCUUCAGUAACUAAACGAAACUGGACUCCCUGAUCAUCAUCACUCACUUAUCAGAACUCUACAUUUUUGCUUUCGCCCAUCCACCGCUCUAAAUGAGUGUCUCAGACAGCAAGAUCAGGGCUGGGGUGCACACCAGAACCCACACAGGUAAAGAGAUCCACAAAAUAUGCAUCAUUUCAUCUAUACAUUCUGCUAUGUGCAUGAGUCAAUGACGUCAUCUGUUAAUUUUUUUAUUUAAAAGUAAAUUCAAAUUGCAGUUCAUACACUGGGGUAAGAUUUUUAAAGUAUUUUUGGAAGUCUGUUAUGCUCAUCAAAGCUUCAUUUAUCUGAUUAAAAAUACAGUAAAAACUGUAUUAUAGUGAAAUGUUUUACAAUUUAAAAUAGCUGUUUUCUAUUUGAGUAUAUUUUAAAAUGUAAUUUAUUCAUGUGAUGUUGCAUUUUCAGCAUCAUUACUCCAUUCUUUAGUGUCUUAUAUGCUGAUUUGCUGCUCACAGUUGUAAAGUCAGUAGCAAUAUUUUGAAGAAGGCUGUUUUUGUAACAUAUGAAAUAUGAUUUUCGAAAGAUAAGUUGCUGUCUAAUCUAACACACAGGUCUUUAACUGAAGAUGAUGACAACAGUACAUCCUUCUAGAUGCAUUGUAUUCUAAGAGAUUCUGUGAGCAGGUUUUUGGUCCAAUAAGUAAUACCUCAGUCUUGUCUGAAUUUAAUAGGAGAAAAUUACUGGUCAUCCAAUGUUUAUAUCUGUAACACACUUUUUCAAAAUGAAAUAUAUAAACGAGUAUCACCGGCAUAGAAGUGGAAACUAAUUCCAUGUUUUCUAAUAAUCUUGCCAGGUGGCAGCAUUUAUAUUGACAAUAACAGAGGGCCUAAGACGGAUCCUUGCGGCACCCCAUAAUUUACUGAUUUUAACUCAGAUUUUUCACCAUUUAAGUAGUCAAAAUUGUAAUGGUCUGCUAAGUAUGAUCUAAACCACUGUAAUGCCUGUCCCUAAAUACCAGUGUAAUAUUGUAGUCGGCCUAAGAGUAUGUCAUGUUCUAUAUUGUCGAAUGCAGCACUAAGAUCAAGUAAAACUAGUAUUGAGACACAUCCUUGGUCAGAACCUUGAAGUAGGUCAUUUGUUAUCUUAACAUAGAUUUCAUAGAUGUCAUUUUAAACCAACCAUAUUAAACCAACAUUAAACUAAAUUGUUUUUGUCAUUGACCCACAUAAACAUGGUAGGGUGCCAUCAUACACUGUCAUUG